rfam:Camelus ferus unplaced genomic scaffold scaffold36, whole genome shotgun sequence.
ACAGGUAUAGCUCAAGUGGUAGAGUGCAUGCUUAGCAUGCAUGAAGUCCUGGAUUCAACCCCCAGAACCUCCA